ensembl:lncRNA
CUGUUAUGAUAUUUUGAUACCACGCUUUUCCCCUCCACAGUUCCACCAGUGGAGACAAGGAGACGCAUGUUGGAGAAGCCACUAAAACCAAGGACACUCUGGGAGGCCGCGUUUUCCAGCCCCCAGGCUUUACUGGCAGUGACGAAGAACCAGCAUCCUCACAGACGGACAACCUCAGUGGAUUCAUGCCAGCAGGGUUAAGACCAGCCCAAUCGGACCAUCUCAGGCGUCGGAUCAAGCAGACGACAUCUCCGGCGAGCCAGCGCCCGGAACUAGAGCAAAUAAACACACGGGUAGACGACAUCUCAGGCGAGCCAGCGCCCGGAUCCA